ensembl:lncRNA
UUGAAGUUACUUUCUGGUAUGUGUAUUUAUUUAUUUAAUUUAUUGAGAUGGGGUCCCACUCUGUUGCCUAGGCUGAAGUGCGGUCGAAAGAUCUCAGUUCAUUGCAACCUCUAUCUUCCAGGCUCAAGUAAUCCUCCCACCUCAGCCUCCUAAGUAGCUAGGACUACAGGCAUGGACCACCAUGCCCAGCUAAUUUUUGUAUUUUUUUGUAGAGAAGGGUUUCUCCAUGUUGGCCGGGUUGAUCUUGAACUCCUGGACCAAAGUGAUCUACCCACCUACGCUUCCCAAAAUGCUGGGAUUACAGGUGUGAACCACCACUCCCUGCUCUGGUUUAUUUUCCGUCAAAGCAAUACCUUUUUAAACCAAAAAGCAAUUUUUUCCUCAUCAGGUGAAACUUUCAUCUCCCUCAGAGACAAUAACUUAAAGACCUUUGGUUUGUGGAGUGGUGAAAAUAGCCUAAUUCUGUAGUCCUCUGGACUUCUUUCUACAACCAUAUGCUCUGCAGUCACCCAGCCACUGGUGGACUACUCAUCAUCAGCUGGGCCUUGGACUCUUUUGACAGAAUCCCUGAUCAUUGAGACAUCUUAACCUCUGCCUCCGGGAUUUUCCUGAGUCCUCUACCCUACCUCAGUGGAUGUAUCCAGUCUAACUCCCAACUCUUCCAGAAACGAUCUUCCCACAGUAACUUUCUGACUGUUUGGGCAGACCAACAAUGAAUUUUCUUUCUUUUCUUUUCUUCUCUCUUCUUUCUUUCUUUCUUUCUUUCUUUCUUUCUUUCUUUCUUUCUUUCUUUCUUUCUUUCUUUCUUUUUCUUUUUCUUCUCCCCCCUCUCUCCUCUCUCUCUCUCCUCUCUCUCUCUCUCUCUCCUCUUUCUCUCUCUCUCUCUCUCUCUCCUCUCUCUCUCUCUCUCUCUCUCUCUCUCUCUCUCUCUCUCUCUCUCUCUCUCUCUCUCUCUCUCUUUCUUUCACCAAAAAGGAUUGAGAACAAAGAACUAGGAGACAGAUUGGAUGGCCUCUGUUCCUCUGUGUUUACUGUGAGGAUGUCUCCUACUCACCAAAAAGAUAAAGUCAUUGUAUUGUACAGAGGUGCCUUUAAAAGGAUCAUCUUAACUCUUCUAAAGAUCUGAAAGGUAGGUAUACUGUAGAUUUUGAAAAUACAUAGUAUAUUUUCUAGAUUUUAAUUUGUGUUUUCCCUUUCUCUUGCACCAUAAUAAAUAGUCUUUGCAUAAAGAGCAUAUAAUAUGCUAUUGGACAUAUACAAAAGGAUAGGGUUAUUGUAUAUUACAUACAGAUAUAUAGGGAUGUCACUGCUUUUAAGCCUGAGAGUUCCAGAUGUGUACUGUCUGUUUGGAUGGAGAUGUCAAACAUGGGCAAGGGGAAGGAGCACCUACAAAUGGCCAAGGAAUAAUAACCAAGUACUUCUGGAAAAGCUCAGAAAAUUUUCUGCUGCAGCUAGUCAGUGUUCACUUUAAAUUUAAUUUUAAUUGACUUUAGAGACCAUUUUUCUUUUUCUUUCUUUUUUUUUUUUUUUGAGACAGAGUGGAGUGCAGGCUGGAGUGCAGUGGCACAAUCUCAGUUCACUGCAACCUCUGCCUUCCAGUUCAAGCAAUUCUGCUGCCUCAGCCUCUGAGAAGCUGGGAUUACAGGUGCCCGCCACACGCCCGGUUGAUUUUUGUAUUAUUAGCAGAGACAGGGUUUCACCACCUUUGACCUCAAGUAGUCCACCCGCCUGGGCCUCCCAAAGUGCUGGGGUUACAGGCGUGAGCCACCAUACCCAGCCGAGACCAUUUUUCAAUAUAGUAAAUUGUGUAAUCUAUUUGAGUACUCCUUUAAAAUUUUUGAAAUUUGGCCGGGCGCGACAGCUCACGCCUGUAAUCCCAGCACUUUGGGAAGCCGAGGUUGGCAGAUCACGAGGUCAAGAAAUCGAGUCCAUCCUGGCCAACAUGGUGAAACCCCGUCUCUACUAAAAAUACAAAAAAUAGCCGGGCAUGGUAGCACGUGCCUGUGGUCCCAGCUACUCUGGAGGCUGAGGCGGAAGAAUCGCUUGAAACCGGUAGGCAGAGGUUGCAGUGAGCUGCGAUUGCGCCACUGCACUCCAGCCUGGCGACAGAGCAAGACUCCGUCUCAAAAAAAAAAAAUUGAAAUUCGUAGUAUUUUUUUAUUCUUUCUUCUAGCUCCUUUUUAGUUAUAAAAAUUGCUUACAUAUCACAUAUUUCCACAUCUUGAAUUUUUCUAAAUUCCCACCAAAUUGAAGUGAAUUUCUAAGUAGAGCAUUAUUGCUUUAGAGUGCAGUGUUGUGAUCUUGGCUCACUGCAACCUCUGCCUCCUGGGUUCAGGUGAUUCUCCUGCUUCAGCCUCCUGAGUAGCUGGGAUUACAGUUGUGUGCCACCACACCUGGCUAAUUUUUGUAUUUUUAGUAGAGACAGGGUUUUACCUUGUUGGUCAGGCUGGUCUCCAACUCUUGACCUCAUGAUCCGCCCACCUCGGCCUCCCAAAGUGCUGGGAUUACAAGUGUGAACCACCGAGCCCAGCUGUGUAAUAUAUUUCAAAAUUAGGAAAUGUUAUACCUUCAGCUUUGUUCUUCAUUCUUAAGAUUAAUUUGACUAUUUAUGGUCUUUAGUGGUUCCAUAUGAAUUUUAGAAUUGCUUUUUUCUAUUUCUAUUAAAAAUGUCAUUGGAAUUUGGAUAGAAAUUGCAUUGAAUCUGUAGAUCACUUUGGUCUUAUGGAUAUUUUAACAAUAUUGAGUCUUCUAACUCUUGAACAUGAGGUGUCUUUUCAUUUGUGUCUUGUUUCAUAUCUUUUAAAAUUUAUAAGCAGACAUUGCAGGAGAUGUCUUGUUUAAUUUCUUUCAUCAAUAUUUUGUAGUUUUCAGCAUAUAAAUCUUUCAUCUCAAUUCAGUUUCUUCCUGGGUAUUUUAUUCUCUUGUUGUUAUUGUAAAUGGGAUUAUUUUCCUAAUUUCUUUUCAGAUAGCUUGUUGUUAAUUUAUCUAUAUGACUUUAAAGAUUGUUUUUGGGCUGGGUGCAGUGGCUCACACCUGUAAUCCCAGAACUUUGGGAGGCUGAGGCAGGUGGGUCACUUGAGUUCAGGAGUUCAAGACCAGCUUGGCCAACAUGGUAAAAAUCCCACCUCUACUAAAAAUACAAAAAUUAGUCAGGUGUAGUGGUGCACACCUGUAAUCCCAGUUACUUGGGAGGCUGAGGCAGGAGAAUCUCUUGAACCUGGGAGGCAGAGGUUGCAAUGAACCGAGAUUGUGCCACUGCACUCCAGCCUGGGUGACAGACUCUAUCUCCAAAAAAAAAACCAAA